rnacentral:lncRNA from 1 species
CGGUAUGAGGGUGAAAUGGGCCGUCCCCAUACCCCGUCCGGUAUGAGCGCCAAAUUAUCAAUCCUCGAUACGCCGUCUAGUAUGAGACAACGUUCAUGGUAGGGUUUCCUAUGUACUAAGUUCGUCCACCAUCUCUCAGGAUAUCCAAUAAGGCUGCCGUUCAUCUAUCCAGUUAAUCAAACAAUUUUUCGUUUACCUUUAAUUUCUAGUCUUCCAAUUUAACUGUAAUCACAUAAAACAAGCAAUACAUACAUUAAGGAAACACAAUCGCAUCAUCAUACCAAUUCUAGUGUAUUAUCAUGCAUUCGAAAACUGUAAAAUCAGAAAAUCAGUUACACAUAGCAAAAAGUAAUAAAUAACCGGUUCUGGCUCCGUUAGUAACUUGUAAUUAAUUACGAUUAUUUUUUAAGUUUCACAAAAUAUCAUAUUAUUUAGAAUUAAACUUCAAUUCCAUAACAGGGAAUAAGAUGAGAGAUUCUUACUCGAAUUAGUAUCCGAACACUAAGUUUUUGACUGCACCUACUGAUAGUCCCUGGGUUCCCUGAAUUUUACUUCAGAGAUUAAAAUACA